AGCCUGCUUCUGCUGCAGGCUCAUCCCCAAGGAGGCAGGAGGUGGCUGAUCCAGAGCCAGCCAGCACGGUCCUGAAGUGCUGACAGGGACGCCAGCAAGGGCAGCUCAUGGUUUCCACGUGGCAGCCAGGGCAGAGGGGUUGGCCGCUUUUCCCUCUCACCCCUGACGAUGGUGAAGAAGCUCUCAGGUGGGGAGUCAGGUGACUGCAGGUGCUGGCAGUGCGGCCUUUCCCCUCCCCUGCAGCUGGGAUGCUGGGAGCUGGGCCUGAGCGCUGGCUGCAGCCUCCAAGUAAGCUUGCAGAUGGGCCGAGUUGCAGAUGAGCGUGCAGCUCUCGCCUCCAUAUCUUCUGCUCCUGGGUUGCCGAAAUCCCAGGGGUGACGCUGUGACCUCCGCUGUCCAUUCCUUUCAAACUAAGCCUCCCCCAUGGUGCUAACGGGGAUAAGCGGCAGACACAGUCGCAUGCCGGCAGGCCACCGAGGCUCGAGGAGGCACGCGGGUCCAGUAGGUGCAGGGGUCUACGUACCUUUAUGUCACCAUUCCCUCAUUCAGAAAUACUUUGUGCACUGUCUGUCAGGCCCCCGGGGAUGGAGCGGUGAAUGUGGCUGCUGUGGCCAGGCUCUCACGGCACUUACAGUCUGGGGGAGGAGCAGGGAGGUGCUCGCAACCCAGUGGACAAACACUGCUGUGCUGUGGGGGCCACGGCAGGGCACUGUAUGGAAUGGGUUGUGUCCCCCACCACGGAUGUGCUGAAGUCCUGACCCCCAGUUCCUGUGAGUGUGACCUGACUUGGGAACAGUCUGCUGGUGUAACCAAGCAAAGAUGGGUGGUCAGGGUGGGCCCUUGAGCGUCAUGACUGGUGUUCUUCUGAGAAGACGAGAAGAGACACGUUCGCAGAGACACUCGGAGAAGGCCGUGUGGUUGGAGCGAUGUCCUGCAGACCGAGAACUGACAGCAACUUCGGGAGCUAAGAGGUAGCCCUGGAGCAGAUGCCCCUAGAGCUUCCAGAGAGAACACCGUCCUGCCCGCACCUUGGUCUCGAACUUCCGGCCUGCAGGCUGUGAGAGAAUGCACUUCUGCUCUUCAAAGCCGCCUAGUCUGUGGCACUUUGUGACUGCACUCACAGGAAAGUAACGUAGGCAUCAAACUCAGAGUAAUGCAUCAAGGAAGUCUUCUUGGAGGAGGUGACAUUUAAGCUGAGAUCCGAAGAACGGCAUUGUAAUCAGGGCUGUUUCAUUUGUAGGAACAGGGUUCUUCAAACUAACUUAAAUAAAAGGGUUGGCGAUGAGGGAGGUAGUUUAAAAGGGUACAGGACGUCUCAGGGUGUCCGUGUGGAAAGAAGCGGAACUUGCUGAAUGGGACGGGGUUUCUGAGCCAGGGGGGUGGUUUCCAUCAGUCGGCGCUGCAUGGCGUCCCCCCCUCCGCUUCUCCCUUCCUCUCCACCACUGCACAUCUCUCUGUAAUCAGCUUUAUCUUUUCCCAGAUGGCUUUUCCUCCUUACCCUCAUUGCUCUGCCCAACCACCCUGUUUAUUUUAUUUAGAAAACAUGUCACAAACCACAGUUACUGUGUCACCUUGCCUGUGAAUUUGUUCUUCAUCUGUCUUCCUCGUGAAGUCAGAAUUGUGCCCCGCUAAGAAUUCAGAGUUCAACCUAAGAACAAGGAGGGGCGACAUGAUCUGAAUUCUGUUUUCUAAAGAUCCUGGGCCGCAGGUGGAGACUGAACUGGAUGCGGGCAGGACCAAGCGCGAGGCCUGGAGGACGGUAACUGCUCACGAUGCGUGGUUACACGGAGACACGGAGGCUGGUGAGGAGACUGCUCCAGUGGUCUGGCCGAGAGAUGCUGGUGGCCCAGGCUGUGUUAACAGCACAGAACAUGGAGAAAAGCAGGCGAUUCCUGAGACACUCAGGAAGGAGACUAGAGGAGACGUGGUGCCUGAUAACGUGCGGGGAAGGUGGUGACGGGAGAAGGCAGGCAGACCGCCCCGGGCUGGGGGACGCAGCGGGGUGUUUGAGGACGGCGCGGUGAGCCCGAGAUGCCUGAGGGACACGGAGACGGGAUGCUGGAGUGGCCCCAGUGUCAGCGGUUACAGCCUGGAGCUCUGGAGGCAGCAUUUGUCCAGUGACGCUGCUGUGGAACUCUUGCACCUGCAAAGAGCGACUGAGCCAUGGAGACGGCUCCCAGAGGGCGUGUAAAUAGAGG